rnacentral:rRNA from 1 species
GACGAACGCUGGCGGCGUGCUUAACACAUGCAAGUCGAGCGGUAAGGCCCUUCGGGGUACACGAGCGGCGAACGGGUGAGUAACACGUGGGUGACCUGCCUCUAGCUCUGGGAUAAGCCUGGGAAACUGGGUCUAAUACCGGAUAUGACUCCACGGCGCAUGUUGUGGGGUGGAAAGCCUUGUGUGGCUAGAGAUGGGCCCGCGGCCUAUCAGCUUGUUGGUGGGGGAUGGCCUACCAAGGCGACGACGGGUAGCCGGCCUGAGAGGGCGACCGGCCACACUGGGACUGAGACACGGCCCAGACUCCUACGGGAGGCAGCAGUGGGGAAUCUUGCGCAAUGGGCGAAAGCCUGACGCAGCGACGCCGCGUGAGGGAUGAC